CUGGCCCUACGGGAGGCAGCAGUAGGGAAUAUUGCUCAAUGGGGGAAACCCUGAAGCAGCAACGCCGCGUGGAGGAUGAAGGUUUUAGGAUUGUAAACUCCUUUUGUGAGAGAAGAUAAUGACGGUAUCUCACGAAUAAGCAGCGGCUAACUCCGUGCCAGCAGCCGCGGUAAUACGGAGGGCGCAAGCGUUACUCGGAAUCAAUGGGCGUAAAGAGCGCGCAGGCGGGCUUGU
rnacentral:rRNA from 1 species